rnacentral:tRNA from 1 species
AUUUAUAUAGUUUAAAUAAAACAAUACAUUUUCAUUGUAUAAAUAAAAAAUAAUUUUUUAUAAAUA